CCCUUCGAUGCUCUGGGCCGCACGCGCGCUACACUGGUCGAUGCAACGAGUUUCUUUCCUUGGCCGACAGGCCUGGGCAAUCUUUGAACAUCGAUCGUGAUCGGGAUAGAUUCUUGUAAUUUUUGAUCUUAAACGAGGAAUUCCUAGUAAACGCAAGUCAUCAGCUUGCAUUGAUUACGUCCCUGCCCUUUGUACACACCGCCCGUCGCACCUACCGAUUGAAUGGUCCGGUGAAAUCUCCGGACUGGCGUGAGUCGGAGCAAUCUGACAAACACCGGAAAGUUGAUUAAACCUUACCAUUUAGAGGAAGGUGAAGUCGUAACA
rnacentral:rRNA from 1 species